GCAUGUUACAUGGCUCAUCCUUGGUGACCAGUAAAUAAUUGUUAAACUGAAUUACUGGAUUCUGCUUUGUCGUCCAAUAUGCUGGUGAUGUCAUCUGGGAAUACUGGCAAGAACAGUUCUUGAAGUUUGCAUCGGUGUGGACAGAGUAUGUAGCCAUCAACAUGGCAUGGAUUUGAGAGUGAAUUAAAAAAAGAAACGAAAAGAGAAGAUAAUCAUUUAGCGGCCUGACAAGUGUUCAUUGGGUCAGUCCUAAGAAGGAGCCAAAAG